rnacentral:rRNA from 1 species
ACGAACGCUGGCGGCAUGCCUCACCCCUGCCAGUCGAACGAGACCUUCGGGUCUAGUGGCGCACGGGUGCGUAACGCGUGGGAACCUGCCCUUAGGUUCGGAAUAACUCCCCGAAAGGGGUGCUAAUACCGGAUAAUGUCUUCGGACCAAAGAUUUAUCGCCUUUGGAUGGGCCCGCGUUGGAUUAGCUAGUUGGUAGGGUAAAAGCCUACCAAGGCGACGAUCCAUAGCUGGUCUGAGAGGAUGAUCAGCCACACUGGGACUGAGACACGGCCCAGACUCCUACGGGAGGCAGCAGUGGGGAAUAUUGGACAAUGGGCGAAAGCCUGAUCCAGCAAUGCCGCGUGAGUGAUGAAGGCCUUAGGGUUGUAAAGCUCUUUUACCCGGGAUGAUAAUGACAGUACCGGGAGAAUAAGCUCCGGCUAACUCCGUG